UCAAAUACUUAAAUACAUACUUCUUCAGGUCCUCUUGUCUCUAUAUUGCUCAUCCUUUGUACUUUUGGGUUAGUACUCAUGUUGACCUUUGUACACAGAGAUGGUCUCAACAAGGAUCAACUUGGGGAUCUAGAACCCUUGGGUUAUCCCAAGCCUCCAAGUGGUGGCAUGAUCUUGGUUAAUACUUUUGAAGAGCCUUUUGGCGCUGAAUGUGGUGGACGAGUCUGGAGAAAACUAAGUGAAACCACUUCUGACAUAAUAAAGAGAAAUAUUGUUGCACUUGCUUCAUUCCUUGGUGAUUCUACAGUACUGUGAUGUUUACUAGUUACUACUUUUCAUAUUUGUAUCUGAUCAUAACAAUGAUGAAAAUUAUGACAUUCAGGAAAGAAAAGGUUUUUUUGCAUCCACGGGUAUUUUUAUUGAAUGGAAUGGGUGUACAACAAUCUUGACUUAAGCGAGUUUGCUUAGAGAAUCUGGUUAUAAAGAUCAGAAGAUUGUUAAAAACUUGAGGAUUGAAGUGUUGCUUCCAAACAACGAUCGCGCAGAAGGGAAAUUAGAACAUGUUAAUUUACAUCAAUGUCGCUCUUGUCAGCGUCAAGGACUUCUGUGAUUGCCAACCAGUAAAAGUUCAACAUCGGCGGCCUGAUUCUGGUGAAGUGCUAGCUGUAGGACGCUGUUUCAGUUCGGGCAGACUGAUGGCUGCAAAAAGGGCAAAGGUAUAGCAGGCUGGACGGCAGCUUUGAUUGCAAAUAUCUUGGAUACUCCACUUGCAAAAUCACUAUGGCUGGGAUUGGAGGUCCCCUUCUUGAUCUUGACGGGAAAUUUGUUGGCAUGAACUUCUACGACAAGUAGGUAGGUCACACACAAUACCUGUCAUGGUGGGAAAUUCUACCUCUCUUGGAAUAUUUCAAGACAAAAGGGUAUGGUCUAGAUUUCCUUUUGGGUAUUCAAGUGCCCGUGUCGUGUGAUGUAUUUAGGUUUCAAUUAAAGGGUCUUAUAGUCGUACUGAAGCAGGUUCUGUCAUGCGUAGCCUCAGUUUGAUGUAUUCUUUAUUGUCCAUCAUAUGGCUGUUGCUGAAGGUGAUGAUUGUGGUAAUCCAUCUGAUAAGCCUGACUGGACAAAGGAAGGAGAUAACAGUGUUUUCUGCAAUAGCUGGUAUGUACCGAGUCCAUGUUGGUAUGAUCCUGAUGUUUUGGAAAAGGUUGAGACUGAAGCUCAACCAAGAGCCCCGGCUAUCUGAUUGAAUUUGAGUGGGACUCUGACUCUGACUGUCUGAAUCUGAAUGAACUUGACUAUCAAUGUACGUGCAGAAGAUAUCCUGUCUUAGUUUAUUAACAUGUUUGAGUUGACUUGUAACGGUGAGAGCUGAUCUGUUCGCUGCAUGUAUGGUGCUUUCCCCCCCUUGAACGACCCAUUGUCUAGUCAUGUAGUAUUAUCUGUUUUGUGCCUGACUUGUUAAUUUGUCACAACAUCUAGUGUGGCCUGGGCUGUGCCGUGUGCUGUAAUAGCAUUUGAAUUGUGCUUAAGCUGUAUUGUAUGUCGUAAAUAUUAUCCAGAUGAUUCUGUAUA